rnacentral:hammerhead_ribozyme from 1 species
GCACUGCUGAGUAGUUCCACAAUAGGACGAAACGGCUGUCCAGUGC